UACGGGGGGGGCAAGCGUUGUUCGGAAUUACUGGGCGUAAAGGGCUCGUAGGCGGCCAACUAAGUCAGACGUGAAAUCCCUCGGCUUAACUGGGGAACUGCGUCUGAUACUGGAUGGCUUGAGUUUGGGAGAGGGACGCGGAAUUCCAGGUGUAGCGGUGAAAUGCGUAGAUAUCUGGAGGAACACCGGUGGCGAAAGCGGCGUCCUGGACCAACACUGACACUGAGGAGCGAAAGCCAGGGGAGCAAACGGG
rnacentral:rRNA from 1 species